UACAGAGGUCCCGAGCGUUGUUCGGAUUUAUUGGGCGUAAAGGGUGCGUAGGCGGCGGAGUAAGUUGGGUGUGAAAUCCCGGGGCUCAACCUCGGAAUGGCAUUCAAUACUGCUUCGCUAGAGUACUGGAGAGGAGGCUGGAAUUUACGGUGUAGCAGUGAAAUGCGUAGAUAUCGUAAGGAAGGCCGGUGGCGAAAGCGGCUUCCUGGACCAGUACCGACGUUCAGGCACGAAAGCGUGGGGAGCAAACAGG
rnacentral:rRNA from 1 species